rnacentral:rRNA from 1 species
UACAGAGGGGGCAAGCGUUGUUCGGAAUUACUGGGCGUAAAGGGCUCGUAGGCGGCCAACUAAGUCAGACGUGAAAUCCCUCAGCUUAACUGGGGAACUGCGUCUGAUACUGGAUGGCUUGGAUUCGGGAGAGGAAUGCGGAAUUCCAGGUGUAGCGGUGAAAUGCGUAGAUAUCUGGAGGAACACCGGUGGCGAAGGCGGCAUUCUGGACCGAUAUUGACGCUGAGGAGCGAAAGCCAGGGGAGCAAACAGG